rnacentral:rRNA from 1 species
AGGGCAACAGGUGAAUGCCUUGGCGCUGAGAGGCGAUGAAAGACGCGGUAAGCUGCGAUAAGCAUCGGGGAGGAGCUAAACAUCCUACGAUCCGAUGAUUUCUGAAUGGGGAAACCCGAUGGGAGUCAUGUCCCAUCAUCCUGAGCUGAAUAUAUAGGCCCAGAGAAGCCAACCCGGGGAAGUGAAACAUCUCAGUACCCGGAGGAAGAGAAAUCAAACGAGACUCCCAAAGUAGCGGCGAGCGAAAUGGGAAGAGCCCAAACCGGGUGGUUUCGACCAUUCGGGGUUGUAGGGCCGGCAUACGCGAUUCUGGAGUAGGCAGAGGAAGUGAGCUGGAAAGCUCCGCCACAGCGGGUGAUAGCCCCGUACUCGAAACCGAAAAGGACGCAGCCGGUACCUGAGUACUGCGAGGCACGUGGAACCUCGUGGGAAUCUAGGGGGACCAUCCUCUAAGGCUAAGUACUCCUCAGCGACCGAUAGUGAACUAGUACCGUGAGGGAAAGGUGAAAAGAACCCCUGUUAGGGGAGUGAAAUAGAAUCUGAAACCUGUUGCCUACAAGCUGCGAGAGCUACUUCGGUAGUGAUCGCGUGCCUUUUGUAUAAUGAGUCAGCGAGUUACUCUACCGUGCGAGGUUAAGCGAAAGCGUAGCCGUAGUGAAAGCGAGGCUUAAUAGGCCGACUAGUACGUUGGAGUAGACCCGAAACCGGGUGAUCUAUCCAUGAGCAGGUUGAAGCAAGGGUAAAGCCUUGUGGAGGACCGAACCGUCAACGGCUGAAAACGUUCCGGAUGACUUGUGGAUAGGGGUGAAAGGUCAAUCAAACCCGGUGAUAGCUGGUUCUCCCCGAAAUAUAUUGAGGUAUAGCCUCGGGAAUUGAUUAGCGGAGGUAAAGCACUGACAGAGCUAGGGGUCCUACCAGAUUACCAAACUCUAUCAAACUCAGAAUGCCGCUUAAUCGUAUCCCGGGAGUCAGACGGCGGGUGCGAAGGUUCGUCGUCAAAAGGGAAACAGCCCAGACCAACAGCUAAGGUCUCCAAAUCCAUGCUCAGUGGUGAAGGUAGUGGAACCGUUUAGACAGCCAGGACGUUGGCUUAGAAGCAGCCAUCGUUUAAAGAAAGCGUAAUAGCUCACUGGUCUAAUGGCUCUGCGCCGAAAAUGUAACGGGGCUAAGCAUGGUACCGAAGCUUUGGCAAUCUCCUUUGGAGAUUGGGUAGGGGAGCGUUCGCUGCGGGCUGAAGGUGUGUCGGAAGGCAUGCUGGACUGCAGUGAAGUGAUUAUGCUGACAUGAGUAACGAUAAAAUAUGUGAAAAACAUAUUCGCCGAAAACCCGAGGUUUCCUGGGUAAAGGUAAUCUUCCCAGGGUUAGUCGGAUCCUAAGAUGAGGGUGAAAGCCGUAAUCGAUGGAAAACAGGUUAAUAUUCCUGUACUUGUUGUGUAGCGCGAUGGAGGGACGCAGGAAGAUAGGCGGGCCGGGUGUUGGAUAUCCCGGUGCAAGCGUGUAGGAAUAUCCGGUAGGCAAAUCCGCCGGACGAAUCUGAGACGCGAGUCCGUGGGCGCAAGCCCUGAAGCCGUUGAGUCUAUGCUGCCUAGAAAAGCUCCUAAGUUUAUCCACAGCAAUCCGUACCGCAAACCAACUCAGGUGGGUGGGAUGAACAAUCCAAGGCGCUCGAGAGAACUCUGGCCAAGGAACUCGGCAAAAUAACCCCGUAACUUCGGAAGAAGGGGUGCUCUCUAGGGUGACAUGUUUAACAUACGGUCCUAAGGUAGCGAAAUUCCUUGUCGGGUAAGUUCCGACCUGCACGAAUGGCGUAACGAUCUCCACACUGUCUCGGCCAGAGACUCGGUGAAAUUGCAGUCGCGGUGAAAAUUCCGUGUACCCGCAGAAAGACGGAAAGACCCUGUGCACCUUUACUAUAGCUUGACAUUGGAUUUUGGGCCUGCAUGUGUAGGAUAGGUGGGAGGCUGCGAACCCUGUACGCCAGUAUGGGGGGAGCCAUCCUUGAAAUACCACCCUUGCAUGUUUAAGAUCCUAACUUCUUCCGGUUAUCCCGGAGAAAGACAGUGUCUGGCGGGUAGUUUGACUGGGGCGGUCGCCUCCUAAAGUGUAACGGAGGCAUGCAAAGGUUCCCUCAGCCUGAUCGGAAACCAGGCGCUGAGUGCAAACGCAUAAGGGAGCUUGACUGUAAGAGAGACAUCUCGAACAGGAACGAAAGUUGGCGUUAGUGAUCCGGUGGUCCCGAAUGGAAGGGCCAUCGCUCAUUGGAUAAAAGGUACGCCGGGGAUAACAGGCUGAUCGCAUCCAAGAGUUCACAUCGACGAUGCGGUUUGGCACCUCGAUGUCGGCUCAUCACAUCCUGGGGCUGAAGCAGGUCCCAAGGGUACGGCUGUUCGCCGUUUAAAGUGGUACGC